rnacentral:rRNA from 1 species
UACGGAGGGUGCAAGCAUUGAUCGGAAUUACUGGGCGUAAAGGGCGCGUAGGCGGUCCAGAAAGUCAGAUGUGAAAUUCCGGGGCUCAACCCCGGAGCUGCAUUUGAAACUUCAGGACUUGAGGAUGGUUAGGGAAAACGGAAUUCCACGUGUAGCGGUGAAAUGCGUAGAUAUGUGGAAGAACACCGGUGGUGAAGACGGUUUUCUGGGCCAAACCUGACGCUGAGGCGCGAAAGCUAGGGGAGCAAACAGG